CAUAAAGCGAUGAUGGAACAAAGUUACUGAAGGUCUUCAGAGAGCCGGCGGGUGGUGCAAGCCGGUGACGGACGGUAGUCUUUAGCGCUCCUGAGAUAUUGUGUUGAACUUUAGUAGGCACAAUCGGAUCAUCUCCGUUACCAGUGUUCCUGUUUACAGGAAAUAAGGCUGUAUCUGUAAAAUGAUGCAGUGAAUUAGGGUGGUACCACGAUACUCUCGUCCCUUAC
rnacentral:ncRNA from 1 species